rnacentral:rRNA from 1 species
GAUGAACGCUGGCGGCGUGCCUAAUACAUGCAAGUCGAACGAAACUUCUUUAUCACCGAGUGCUUGCACUCACCGAUAAAGAGUUGAGUGGCGAACGGGUGAGUAACACGUGGGCAACCUGCCCAAAAGAGGGGGAUAACACUUGGAAACAGGUGCUAAUACCGCAUAACCAUAGUUACCGCAUGGUAACUAUGUAAAAGGUGGCUAUGCUACCGCUUUUGGAUGGGCCCGCGACGCAUUAGCUAGUUGGUGGGGUAAAGGCUUACCAAGGCAAUGAUGCGUAGCCGAACUGAGAGGUUGAUCGGCCACAUUGGGACUGAGACACGGCCCAAACUCCUACGGGAGGCAGCAGUAGGGAAUCUUCCACAAUGGGCGAAAGCCUGAUGGAGCAACGCCGCGUGGGUGAAGAAGGUCUUCGGAUCGUAAAACCCUGUUGUUAGAGAAGAAAGUGCGUGAGAGUAACUGUUCACGUUUCGACGGUAUCUAACCAGAAAGCCACGGCUAACUACGUGCCAGCAGCCGCGGUAAUACGUAGGUGGCAAGCGUUAUCCGGAUUUAUUGGGCGUAAAGGGAACGCAGGCGGUCUUUUAAGUCUGAUGUGAAAGCCUUCGGCUUAACCGGAGUAGUGCAUUGGAAACUGGGAGACUUGAGUGCAGAAGAGGAGAGUGGAACUCCAUGUGUAGCGGUGAAAUGCGUAGAUAUAUGGAAGAACACCAGUGGCGAAAGCGGCUCUCUGGUCUGUAACUGACGCUGAGGUUCGAAAGCGUGGGUAGCAAACAGGAUUAGAUACCCUGGUAGUCCACGCCGUAAACGAUGAAUGCUAAGUGUUGGAGAGUUUCCGCCCUUCAGUGCUGCAGCUAACGCAAUAAGCAUUCCGCCUGGGGAGUACGACCGCAAGGUUGAAACUCAAAGGAAUUGACGGGGGCCCGCACAAGCAGUGGAGUAUGUGGUUUAAUUCGAAGCAACGCGAAGAACCUUACCAGGUCUUGACAUCGUGCGCAUAGCCUAGAGAUAGGUGAAGCCCUUCGGGGCGCACAGACAGGUGGUGCAUGGUUGUCGUCAGCUCGUGUCGUGAGAUGUUGGGUUAAGUCCCGCAACGAGCGCAACCCUUGUAUUUAGUUGCUACGCAAGAGCACUCUAGAUAGACUGCCGUUGAUAAAACGGAGGAAGGUGGGGAUGACGUCAAAUCAUCAUGCCCCUUACGACCUGGGCAACACACGUACUACAAUGGCGUAUAACAGAGGGAAGCAAAACAGCGAUGUGGAGCAAACCCCUAAAAUGCGUCUCAGUUCAGAUCGCAGGCUGCAACUCGCCUGCGUGAAGUCGGAAUUGCUAGUAAUCGCGGAUCAGCAUGCCGCGGUGAAUACGUUCCCGGGCCUUGUACACACCGCCCGUCACACCAUGAGAGUUUGUAACACCCAAAGCCGGUGGGGUAACCUUUUGGAGCCAGCCGUCUAAGGUGGGAUAGAUGAUUAGGGUG